GUCCCAGCUUUGCCAACUGGCUUAGAUCAAGUGUAGUAUCUGUUCUUUUCAGUUUAAUCGUGAGUACUCCUCAGGUCCCAGUAUCAUUUGGCUUGAGCUAACAACUCGGAAGUCUGAAAUGUGAGCACCUCACGGCUCUGAAUACCCUGCUCCCGCUGACUGUUAUCAGGUCACUACGGUGACAAACAUUGAUUAAAUUUAUUUUUGCACCUAGCUUGGAUCCUUCUGUGCUUGCACAGAGGUCCCUCGCACCGUGUCCGAGGCCUUACACUGCCGCCUUGUGACGCGAACAAUC
rnacentral:snRNA from 1 species